rnacentral:rRNA from 1 species
GAUUGCAGGCUGCAACCCGCCUGCAUGAAGUUGGAAUCGCUAGUAAUCGCGGAUCAGCAUGCCGCGGUGAAUACGUUCCCGGGCCUUGUACACACCGCCCGUCACACCAUGAGAGUCGGGAACACCCGAAGUCCGUAGCCUGACCGCAAGGGGGGCGCGGCCGAAGGUGGGUUCGAUAAUUGGGGUGAAGUCGUAACAAGGUACC